UACGUAGGGCGCAAGCGUUGUCCGGAAUUAUUGGGCGUAAAGAGCUCGUAGGCGGCUUGUCACGUCGGGUGUGAAAGCCCGGGGCUUAACCCCGGGUCUGCAUUCGAUACGGGCAGGCUGGAGGUAUGCAGGGGAGAACGGAAUUCCUGGUGUAGCGGUGAAAUGCGCAGAUAUCAGGAGGAACACCGGUGGCGAAGGCGGUUCUCUGGGCCGUAACUGACGCUGAGGAGCGAAAGCGUGGGGAGCGAACAGG
rnacentral:rRNA from 1 species